GUAACGCGUGGGUAACCUGCCUCGUACUGGGGGACCACUGUUGGAAACGACUGCUAAUACCGCAUAAGCGCACAGCUUCGCAUGAAGCAGUGUGAAAAACUCCGGUGGUACAAGAUGGACCCGCGUCUGAUUAGCUGGUUGGUGAGGUAACGGCCCACCAAGGCGACGAUCAGUAGCCGGCCUGAGAGGGUGAACGGCCACAUUGGGACUGAGACACGGCCCAAACUCCUACGGGAGGCAGCAGUGGGGAAUAUUGCACAAUGGGGGAAACCCUGAUGCAGCAACGCCGCGUGAGUGAAGAAGUAUUUCGGUAUGUAAAGCUCUAUCAGCAGGAAAGAAAAUGACGGUACCUGACUAAGAAGCCCCGGCUAACUACGUGCCAGCAGCCGCGGUAAUACGUAGGGGGCAAGCGUUAUCCGGAUUUACUGGGUGUAAAGGGAGCGUAGACGGUUUUGCAAGUCUGAAGUGAAAGCCCGGGGCUUAACCCCGGGACUGCUUUGGAAACUGUAGAACUAGAGUGCAGGAGAGGUAAGUGGAAUUCCUAGUGUAGCGGUGAAAUGCGUAGAUAUUAGGAGGAACACCAGUGGCGAAGGCGGCUUACUGGACUGUAACUGACGUUGAGGCUCGAAAGCGUGGGGAGCAAACAGGAUUAGAUACCCUGGUAGUCCACGCUGUAAACGA
rnacentral:rRNA from 1 species